rnacentral:rRNA from 1 species
AUUGAACGCUGGCGGCAUGCCUUACACAUGCAAGUCGAACGGUAGAGGGGGCGACCCCUUGAGAGUGGCGAACGGGUGAGUAGAGCAUCGGAACGUGCCCAGUAGUGGGGGAUAGCCCGGCGAAAGCCGGAUUAAUACCGCAUACGACCUACGGGUGAAAGGGGGGGAUCGCAAGACCUCUCGCUAUUGGAGCGGCCGAUGUCAGAUUAGGUAGUUGGUGGGGUAAAGGCCUACCAAGCCGACGAUCUGUAGCUGGUCUGAGAGGACGAGCAGCCAGACUGGGACUGAGACACGGCACAGACUCCUACGGGAGGCAGCAGUGGGGAAUUUUGGACAAUGGGCGCAAGCCUGAUUCAGCCAUGCCGCGUGCGGGAAGAAGGCCUUCGGGUUGUAAACCGCUUUUGUCAGGGAAGAAAUCCUUUGAGCUAAUACCUCGGGGGGAUGACGGUACCUGAAGAAUAAGCACCGGCUAACUACGUGCCAGCCGCCGCCGUAACAC